rnacentral:sRNA from 1 species
UCAGAAUGUACAGGUCGUCGGUGCGGUUC